UACGUAGGUGGCAAGCGUUGUCCGGAUUUAUUGGGCGUAAAGAGCGUGUAGGCGGCCAGGUAGGUCUGCUGUGAAAACUCGAGGCUCAACCUCGAGACGUCGGCGGAAACCAUCUGGCUAGAGUCCGGAAGAGGAGAGUGGAAUUCCCGGUGUAGCGGUGAAAUGCGUAGAGACCGGGAAGAACACCAGUGGCGAAGGCGGCUACCUGGACAGGUACUGACGCUGAAGCGCGAAAGCUAGGGGAGCAAACAGG
rnacentral:rRNA from 1 species